UUGCCUCAGUAACGGCGAGUGAAGCGGCAACAGCUCAAAUUUGAAAUCCGGCCUCGCGGCCCGAGUUGUAAUUUGCAGAGGGAGUUUCGGAGGCGGGGCCGGCUUAAGUUCCUUGGAACAGGGCGUCACAGAGGGUGAGAAUCCCGUACGUGGCCGGCGGCCAAUUCCGUGUGAAACCCCUUCGACGAGUCGAGUUGUUUGGGAAUGCAGCUCAAAAUGGGUGGUAAAUUUCAUCUAAAGCUAAAUACCGGCCAGAGACCGAUAGCGCACAAGUAGAGUGAUCGAAAGAUGAAAAGCACUUUGGAAAGAGAGUUAAACAGUACGUGAAAUUGUUGAAAGGGAAGCGCUGGCAACCAGACUUGCUCGCGGGUGAUCAGCCUCCCUUCGGGGGGGUGCACUCGCCUGCGAUCAGGCCAGCAUCGGUUUCGGCGGGCGGAUAAAGUCCCCAGGAAUGUAGCUCCCCUCGGGGAGUGUUAUAGCCUGAGGUGCCAUGCGCCCAGCCGGGACCGAGGACCGCGCUCCGGCUAGGAUGCUGGCGUAAUGGUUGUCAGCGACCCGUCUUGAAACACGGACCAAGGAGUCUAACAUCUGUGCGAGUGUUUGGGUGUCAAACCCAGGCGCGGAAUGAAAGUGAACGGAGGUGGGAGCCCUCCCGGGGGCGCACCAUCGACCGAUCCUGAUGUCUUCGGAUGGAUUUGAGUAGGAGCAUGGCUGUUGGGACCCGAAAGAUGGUGAACUAUGCGUGAAUAGGGUGAAGCCAGAGGAAACUCUGGUGGAGGCUCGCAGCGGUUCUGACGUGCAAAUCGAUCGUCAAAUUUGCGUAUAGGGGCGAAAGGANUAAUCGAACCAUCUAGUAGCUGGUUUCAGCCGAAGUUCCCUCAGGAUAGCAGUAACGUUUUCAGUUUUAUGAGGUAAAGCGAUGAUUAAAGGCCUUGGGGGCGAACGCCUUAACUAUUCCAACUUUA
rnacentral:rRNA from 1 species